rnacentral:rRNA from 1 species
UACGGAGGGGGCUAGCGUUGUUCGGAAUUACUGGGCGUAAAGCGUGCGCAGGCGGCUCCUUAAGUCAGAUGUGAAAGCCCCGGGCUUAACCUGGGAACUGCGUUUGAAACUGGGGGGCUAGAGUGUGGAAGAGGGGGGUGGAAUUCCAGGUGUAGCAGUGAAAUGCGUAGAGAUCUGGAGGAACACCGAUGGCGAAGGCAGCCCCCUGGGCUAACACUGACGCUCAUGCACGAAAGCGUGGGGAGCAAACAGG